CACAUGGGGUUAUUUUAUGUCAGCGUGGUUUACACAUUCUUAAUCAUUAUGAUCUCUAUCAUGAUUUGGAAGAAUCCACUGCUCAUAUUGUUUUAUAUAGUAAAUUGGCUACUCAUAUUUGGAGAAUGGCCCCAAUUUCUAACACUUGGACUAUCUCUGCACUUUUUUUGGAUGAUUUUCUUCAUAUAGUCAGAGAAAGAUCGAAUAAAGAUAGUCCACAAUCAAAUG
rnacentral:lncRNA from 1 species